AACGAACGCUGGCGGCAGGCUUAACACAUGCAAGUCGAGCGCCCCGCAGGGGGAGCGGCAGACGGGUGAGUAACGCGUGGGAAUCUACCCAUCUCUACGGGAUAAGGCAUGGAAACGUGUGCUAAUACCGGAUACGUCCUUCGGGAGAAAGAUUUGUCGGAGAUGGAUGAGCCCGCGUUGGAUUAGCUAGUUGGUGGGGUAAAGGCCUACCAAGGCGACGAUCCAUAGCUGGUCUGAGAGGAUGAUCAGCCACACUGGGACUGAGACACGGCCCAGACUCCUACGGGAGGCAGCAGUGGGGAAUAUUGGACAAUGGGCGCAAGCCUGAUCCAGCCAUGCCGCGUGAGUGAUGAAGGCCCUAGGGUUGUAAAGCUCUUUCACCGGUGAAGUUAAUGACGGUAACCGGAGAAGAAGCCCCGGCUAACUUCGUGCCAGCAGCCGCAGUAAAAC
rnacentral:rRNA from 1 species